CUAAGAAAUGGAUCCAGCCUAGACGUCCAGCAGGCGAAUGAGUAAGGGAAACAUGGAACUGUUGUGGAGACAAAAGCGAGGAAAAGAAAGGGUUAGCCCUGAGAGUUUCUGUCUCCACUCCCACUGCAGUAAGGGAACCUCGUAUGAACACACACAGGAUAGUGGACAUCUCCAAGUCAGAUACUGGGUCCCCACUGGCAACCCAAUCUGCCUCCUUGAUCUUUGACCUCUCAGCCUCCGAAAUGGGCCUCACCACAUCAUCAGCUACAGUCUGACUGCUCUGUGUUGCCUGUGAGAGGGAGCCCUGGGGUUGCUGCUGACCUGCAUCAGUGGAUGGAUGUGUUUGUUUUACUGUUGCUGAGAUGCGUUGGAAGCUGGCCACAUUUAAAAAGAAUCCUCAGCUGGGCCCCUCUGCUGAGCAGACUCCUGUUGUGCUACUGUUGUUACACAUCUUACCUCAGCACAGACUGCAUCCUGGGAAGGCACAGUUGUGUUGGUGCCUCCAGCCAUCAAUUAGCCUGUAAAGACGUGUGAUCAACAACAGCAAACACAGGUGAAGAAAACUCCACUGUGUCUACCAUCCCAUUCCGGUCCAUUCAUCUGCUGCUGGGCAUCUAGGACAGUUCCCAUCUUUGAUACUUUAACCUUCGUUUCCAAUUACAGAACUCUAGGUCAACUUUCUUGCUCAGUAGCACUUAAACAUAUCCUUCCAUUGAUUUCUGGCUUGCCCUGUGUCUUAUGACAAGUCAACAGUAAUCAUCACAGUAAUGUUUGAUUUUCAACAUUUUAAUCACAAUGUGCCCUGACAUGACUGUCAUUAUAACUUAUGUUGCUUGAAAUUUUCUACAAUUCCUGAAUCUAUGGGUUGAAAUGCUUCUACAAUUUUGAAAUUUUUAGUCAUUACAUUUUUCUAUCUAUUCCUCCUUGUCUGUGACUCAAAUUAUAUUUGUUCAUUCACUUUUCUAAGGUGACAGUGAAAGUAUUUUUCCACCAUCUUUUAGUCCAUCCUCUGCCUCUUGCAUAUCUAACUCAUCUUUGUAAUGUCUUUAUUAGGCUGACUCUGUGCUUGCUUGUAUGCAAAUCAGAACUCUGGCAACUUCAGAAAGGUUUUUAUACAGCAGAAAGCCUGCAGAUAGUAACAUUUAACUCACGAGGAGGCAAAGAGGGGUUUGGAGCGUGUUAUCAUUUAGGUUUUAAAACCCAGCUAAUAUAGUUUGUAUACAACAUGCUCUUGUUUCUCCCGUCUCUGUGCUUUUGCCCCUGAGUACCUUGUCCCUCGUAGUUCAAGUGUUCUCAGAAGCCUGUCUCUUUCCCAGGCAAGACCAAGGAAUUCUUACUUGAACUCUCUAGCUUCUGCAAAGCUUUGGACUCCUUCACUAAAUCAGGGCAUCCUCUUGUCAAAUGCACACCAGGGUGGUUACAGUCAAUAAAAACAACUUUAGGAAUGACUCCAGUGAAACUCUACUCUCAACCAUACCUGCACUACCACACCAGGAAUCAGUCAACCCGUCAUUCCACAGGCGCACAGAAUGGCAACCUUUUAAGGACUCUGAUAACACUCCCAGUCAAGAACUGAUCGGCAAGACUCACCCUUCCAAGUCUGUACAAGUGCGAUUGAACGACAGAGAAGAAAGUACUCCAACAGCCAUCGAAUUCAACCUCCUGGUUUGAGCUUUAGUCAAAUGAAGGUUAUAAAGGCUGAUACUACCCCUACAUUCCCCCACAGCCUCAGUACAUAAGAGUCAUACCCUUGUUCCCCCAGAGCAUGUUCAUAAGGCUUCACUAAGCAAGAAAGAGGCCCACCUCAGACUGUAGACAUGACUCAUUGGGUAAAGAUACUAAUGGUGCAAGGCUGAAGGUCUCAGUUCAAUUUCACAAACUCAUGUAAAUCCCAGACAGAGUGACAUGAGCCUAUAAUCCCAGCAGUCCUAUGGGAGGCAGUGCCGAUUGGAGGCAGACAGGAGAGUGAAAGCUCACAGGCCAUCUAAUGGGUAGUCAUGGAGCAGCAGCAGAAACAAGACAGACCCCGCGUCUGCAAGGUAAAAAAAAGUUGUCUGCUGACCUCCUCUGCAUGUGCUGGCUGGCAUACAAUGUGUGUGUGUGUGUGUGUGUGUGUGUGUGAGAGAGAGAGAGAGAGAGAGAGAGAGAGAGAGAGAGAGAGAGCUCUAACAUCUGAGCUAUCUCAUUGGUCCUAAUUGAAAGCAUAAAGUUCUAUAGUUAUAACUAAGUAAUAAUUGAAAAAAGACCCACUUCCGGUUUCCUUGAUUCAUAAGAGCUGUCUCCAUGUAAAAAGCCCUGUGAGCCACAGAGCACUAUAGGAGAGCAGAAGAGAACGAGAAAUGACUAACAGGAUCUUAUCUGUUUUGUCUCAAUUAUAUCUAUACAUUGCACUUGUUAAUGCGCAGUAUAUUGCUUUAAAAGCCUGUUUUAAUUAAAUAUUCCUUUUAUGUUAUAAUGGAUGCAUGAAUUUUAUUUAAAAGUAUCCAUUUCACUGUCGGUCUCAACAGCUGACUAAGCAGGGCAUGGAGAACUGCCUUGAUUACAUUUUAGCUUCUUUUCCCUGCCUGGUCUUCUAGAUGCCUGACUCACAGGCUGGAAAGCUGACUCUCACACACCAUUUCUCUACAAGAUGAGUUCAUGUGGAUCCUGCAAUUAUCAACUCAGCACACCACCCAUUUUCUUGCAUUUGUAAAUAAGCAAUCAUCACUCGAAUACAAAUGUUUGCUACUUGA